GUCAGAGGUGAAAUUCUUGGAUUUACUGAAGACUAACUACUGCGAAAGCAUUUACCAAGGACGUUUUCAUUAAUCAAGAACGAAAGUUAGGGGAUCGAAGAUGAUCAGAUACCGUCGUAGUCUUAACCAUAAACUAUGCCGACUAGGGAUCGGGCGGUGCCUUUUAUUGGCCCACUCGGCACCUUACGAGAAAUCAAAGUUUUUGGGUUCUGGGGGGAGUAUGGUCGCAAGGCUGAAACUUAAAGGAAUUGACGGAAGGGCACCACCAGGAGUGGAGCCUGCGGCUUAAUUUGACUCAACACGGGGAUACUCACCAGGUCCAGACACAAUAAGGAUUGACAGAUUGAGAGCUCUUUCUUGAUUUUGUGGGUGGUGGUGCAUGGCCGUUCUUAGUUGGUGGAGUGAUUUGUCUGCUUAAUUGCGAUAACGAACGAGACCUUAACCCUUAAAUAGAGUUGCUGGCGUUUGCUGGUAAAUCUUCUUAUGGGGACUAUCGAUUUCAAGUCGAUGGAAGUUUGAGGCAAUAACAGGUCUGUGAUGCCCUUAG
rnacentral:rRNA from 1 species